rnacentral:lncRNA from 1 species
CCAUCUGCCUGCUUUGGCUUCCCCAAAGUGUUGGGAUUACAGGCGUGAGCCACCACACCCAGCAGAGGAGUUCUUAAAUUCUGGUUUUUAUGCUGGAUACUGGAUGGGAAAAGAGGAGACAGACACAUUUUAUUGAGGAGCCGUAGUCCAGAAACAGUAAAUAUUUACUUGACAAGUGAUUUAUUCCCUUUCAUGCCAUGAUUAAAGUUUAACUUUCAUUGAACAAUUGCUCCAUUUAUAUAGAUGAAAAUAAAUAAUUGGGAACAUAUGUGACAGCCCUUUCACUGGUCUCCCCACGAUCUCUCUGGCCCUCCAGUAACCCAUUAUGUUCACAGCAGUCUUUCUGAAAAAACAAAACAAAAAAAAAAACAAAAAACAAAUCAUGCCCCAGUGCCUGCUUAACACAUUCAAUGGCUCCCUUUUGUCCUCAGAAUUCAGCCCACACUUCCUAUCCAAACUUUGAGAACUUGCAGAGUCUAGCUCUUUAUUGAUACCUCCAGUUGAAUCUCAUUUCUGCUAUCUUUGAAGAGAGGGAUAGCGGUUUGGGUGCGGGGUCAGAAACUAGGUGUGUCGGUGAGAGAUUAGUCCGGGAAGCAGAGCCACACGGUGGUAUGUUUGGAAUAAGAACUGUGUUACAGGAAUCAGAUGAUACACGCUUGUAGGAGAAGCUGGGGAAGAAGGUCCACUGAGAGCACUGAGGAUCACUAACAAGGGCUGGUGCAAGUGAAUGAGUCAGGAGCUUGUAGGGAAGUCCGAAGCUUGGUGUAUUGAGCUGGUGCACAGGCACCAGGAAAGGGGCU